UACGUAGGGUGCAAGCGUUAAUCGGAAUUACUGGGCGUAAAGCGUGCGCAGGCGGUUGUGCAAGACAGAUGUGAAAUCCCCGGGCUUAACCUGGGAACUGCAUUUGUGACUGCACGGCUAGAGUGUGUCAGAGGGGGGUAGAAUUCCACGUGUAGCAGUGAAAUGCGUAGAUAUGUGGAGGAAUACCGAUGGCGAAGGCAGCCCCCCUGGGAUAACACUGACGCUCAUGCACGAAAAGCGUGGGGGAGCAAACAGG
rnacentral:rRNA from 1 species